GGUUGGAGGGUUUUUAAUUUUGUCCCGUAGUUCAUUCAAGGACCCUCCUCUAUCUCGGGAGUUGCGACAGACCAGGGAGCACAGUGGACCUGGGCCGGCUGAGAGUCGGGGCACUCGGCUGAGAGUCAGACUCGGCAGACGUCAUGUGGCCCUGGGCCACCUUCAGCAGUAUUACUUAUGGAUAGGACGCGGGGACUGAGCUCGGGCCGAUUCCGGUAUGCUGGUUCGAGAACCGUGUCGGCUGCGACCGGGAGACCCA